UGUCUCUGACUGCUCUGGUCUGGCCUGACUGCCAUCAGCUCUUCUCUUCUUGGAGGAGACUUCUUGAGAGUUUGGGAUCAUUGUGGUACAUGAGGAGAGGAAGAGCAAGGAGGCCCGAGACGACGUGGUGAUGAGCGCUGGCUGGAGCCAUCAGGCUGGGAUGCUCCCACGCGUGGGCGUCCGCUCAGCCCGACAGCCUGAGGCUGGCACAGUGCAGCCUGUGACUGCACCUUCUGGCCUUCUGCUGAUAAAUAAGCAAGCUAAUUGAAUUAAUAAACAGAUAGCUCUUUUUCCUGCCA